UAGCGUAUAUUAAAGUUGUUGCGGUUAAAAAGCUCGUAGUUCGAGUUCAGUUUCGGACUGGGGUGGGAGGUCACCGCCCGGUGCUUCCCCUUUAGGCUCCGAACAGCUUCCUGUAGUGGAAGCCAAGCCGGUUCUGGUCGGGUGCUCUUUACCGAGUGUCCGGCGCGGCCGGCCAGUUCACCUUGAAUAAAUGAGAGUGCUCAAAGCAGGCUACUCUGGAAUACAAUGCCCGAAUGUUAACUGCAUGGAAUGAUGGAAGAUGAUCUCGGUUCCAUUUUGUUGGUGGUGGGAGCCAGAGGUAAUGAUAAAGAGGGACUGUCGGGGGCAUCCGUACUACGACGCGAGAGGUGAAAUUCAGUGACCGUCGUAGGACGAACAACAGCGAAAGCAUUUGCCAAGAAUGUCUUCGUUGAUCAAGAACGAAAGUUAGAGGAUCGAAGGCGAUCAGAUACCGCCCUAGUUCUAACCCUAAACGAUGCUGACUAGCAAUUCGCCGUCGUUAUUCCCAUGACGUGGCGAGACGCCCCCGGGAAACCUCAAGUUUUUGAGUUCCGGGGGUAGUAUGGUUGCAAAAGUGAAACUUAAAGGAAUUGACGGAAGGGCACCACCAGGAGUGGAGCCUGCGGCUUAAUUUGACUCAACACGGGAAAGCUCACCAGGCCCGGACACCAGAAGGAUUGACAGAUUAAGAGCUCUUUCUCGAUUUGGUGGGUGGUGGUGCAUGGCCGUUCUUAGUUGGUGGAGUGAUUUGUCUGGUUAAUUCCGGUAACGAACGAGACUCUGGCCUACUAAAUAGUGGACGUUGGUUUUGGUGCAUGGGCCACGUUCGACACAGUCUUCUUAGAGGGAUGAGCAGCGAGUAUAGCUGCAGGAGAUUGAGCA
rnacentral:rRNA from 1 species